UACGGAGGGUGCAAGCGUUGCUCGGAAUUAUUGGGCGUAAAGGGUAGGUAGGUGGUCUCAUUUGUCUAGGGUGAAAGCCUUGAGCUUAACUCAAGAAGUGCCCUAGAAACGGUGAGACUGGAGUCCUAGAGAGGGUCGUGGAAUUCCCGGUGUAGCGGUGAAAUGCGUAGAGAUCGGGAGGAACACCAGAGGCGAAAGCGGCGACCUGGAUAGGUACUGACACUCAACUACGAAAGCGUGGGGAGCAAACAGG
rnacentral:rRNA from 1 species